UACGGAGGGUGCGAGCGUUGUCCGGAAUCAUUGGGCGUAAAGGGCGCGUAGGUGGCCCGGUCAGUUCGUGGUGAAAGCGCGGGGCUCAACCCUGCGUCGGCCAUGAAUACUGCCGCGGCUGGAGCACUGUAGAGGCAGGCGGAAUUCCUGGUGUAGCGGUGAAAUGCGCAGAUAUCAGGAGGAACACCAAUGGCGAAGGCAGCUCGCUGGGACGGCACUGACGCUGAGACGCGAAAGCGUGGGGAGCAAACAGG
rnacentral:rRNA from 1 species